GCUAACAGAUAUUGUCUGCUUUAGCUCCUACCGUAUCACUGUCUGCUUCACGAUUUUAAAACGCGUCUAUUAGGGAGAGGUUUUCACACCCUUAUAAAGAAUGUUUCAUUCUCCUCUCCAACCGAUUUUGACCCAUGAUCUUUUCACAGUAAUUUCCAGAAUAGAUAAUAGUCUCAAUCAGCAAUAAUAAUGUUGCCUUGUGAACACAUUGAGCCUGAUUCUUUUUUUUCUUGACAAACUGACAAACAUUACUCGAUGCAUCAAUGAAACACAUUUCUAUCACUAUCCCUAUGAAUAUAUGAUAUCAAACUACUACUAGUCACGUUAUGGUUAGAAAUGGCAUAUUGGAUCCUAAAGUACCAGUUUUCAUAAAUUAUUCCAAAGAUUUGGAAAAUGAUAACCCGAACAACCCUAGCCAGCCCAUGAAUACCCUUCACUAGUCUUAAAGAGCCCUUGUAUCCUUUUGCCAAUACGCUCGUGACACAUGACUUUCGUUUUUACAAUGAAAAGGCCAGCUUUCGUUUGAACAAAUUUAGGUACAAAGAGAGGGCUACACGAAAAAGACCAAACAGGUGUGGAGAACACAAACAACUGGCAAAAGAGAGCCAGAGCUUUAGGUAAGUAAAGCUGUUAACAGUUCUGAAGCAUGUUGAAAUAAAAAGCCCAAAGGGAGGCAUAAAUGCACCACAAAACGAACACUACUUCUGUAUUCUGUUUCAAUCCAGCCAUAUAAACCACAAAACAGCAAAGAAGCAAACUUGCCAUAGCACACAGCCUUUCCUCCAAAAUGGAAGAUCAAUACAACUUUCUCCAUCAUCCUCAAAGGCUCAACCUCUAAUAAGCUAAAUACGAGUAAAAAACUUUAUCAAGAGAUUGUGAGUUUUUCCAGUUGUCGUUUGGGUUUGUCUCUUUGGGGUAUACAGUCUAGAAGGAGGCUCGGAAGUCGUGGGAGACAAACACACGAGAGGUCAUGAACGGAGGUGAACCGGGGUUGAAGACUCGUGAGGAGGAGAUCUACACAUUCCUUGAAGAGGUCGAGAGGUAAAGACACCCAUAGGAGAAAAUCAAGAACAAAAAUCCAAAGCUACGGUUUGAGUUUUUCCCCAACCUUGAUUGACCAUAUCUUCCUCGUUUUUUCAUGAAAAUUUAUGAAACUUGUCCUAUGGUGUUCUUGCAUUGUAGAUGUACAAGUUUGAUUUUGAAAAUGACUCAAUUAAGGUUUUUUUUGCUAGGGUUUUGGGUUGUAAGGUCAUUUAUUCAAUUCCACAUGGUCCUUUUCUUCUUUGUUUUUGUUUUA